GAUGAACGCUGGCGGCGUGCCUAAUACAUGCAAGUCGAGCGAACGGACGAGAAGCUUGCUUCUCUGAUGUUAGCGGCGGACGGGUGAGUAACACGUGGAUAACCUACCUAUAAGACUGGGAUAACUUCGGGAAACCGUAGCUAAUACCGGAUAAUAUUUUGAACCGCAUGGUUCAAAAGUGAAAGACGGUCUUGCUGUCACUUAUAGAUGGAUCCGCGCUGCAUUAGCUAGUUGGUAAGGUAACGGCUUACCAAGGCAACGAUGCAUAGCCGACCUGAGAGGGUGAUCGGCCACACUGGAACUGAGACACGGUCCAGACUCCUACGGGAGGCAGCAGUAGGGAAUCUUCCGCAAUGGGCGAAAGCCUGACGGAGCAACGCCGCGUGAGUGAUGAAGGUCUUCGGAUCGUAAAACUCUGUUAUUAGGGAAGAACAUAUGUGUAAGUAACUGUGCACAUCUUGACGGUACCUAAUCAGAAAGCCACGGCUAACUACGUGCCAGCAGCCGCGGUAAUACGUAGGUGGCAAGCGUUAUCCGGAAUUAUUGGGCGUAAAGCGCGCGUAGGCGGUUUUUUAAGUCUGAUGUGAAAGCCCACGGCUCAACCGUGGAGGGUCAUUGGAAACUGGAAAACUUGAGUGCAGAAGAGGAAAGUGGAAUUCCAUGUGUAGCGGUGAAAUGCGCAGAGAUAUGGAGGAACACCAGUGGCGAAGGCGACUUUCUGGUCUGUAACUGACGCUGAUGCGCGAAAGCGUGGGGAUCAAACAGGAUUAGAUACCCUGGUAGUCCACGCCGUAAACGAUGAGUGCUAAGUGUUAGGGGGUUUCCGCCCCUUAGUGCUGCAGCUAACGCAUUAAGCACUCCGCCUGGGGAGUACGACCGCAAGGUUGAAACUCAAAGGAAUUGACGGGGACCCGCACAAGCGGUGGAGCAUGUGGUUUAAUUCGAAGCAACGCGAAGAACCUUACCAAAUCUUGACAUCCUUUGACAACUCUAGAGAUAGAGCCUUCCCCUUCGGGGGACAAAGUGACAGGUGGUGCAUGGUUGUCGUCAGCUCGUGUCGUGAGAUGUUGGGUUAAGUCCCGCAACGAGCGCAACCCUUAAGCUUAGUUGCCAUCAUUAAGUUGGGCACUCUAAGUUGACUGCCGGUGACAAACCGGAGGAAGGUGGGGAUGACGUCAAAUCAUCAUGCCCCUUAUGAUUUGGGCUACACACGUGCUACAAUGGACAAUACAAAGGGCAGCGAAACCGCGAGGUCAAGCAAAUCCCAUAAAGUUGUUCUCAGUUCGGAUUGUAGUCUGCAACUCGACUACAUGAAGCUGGAAUCGCUAGUAAUCGUAGAUCAGCAUGCUACGGUGAAUACGUUCCCGGGUCU
rnacentral:rRNA from 1 species